rnacentral:rRNA from 1 species
GACGAACGCUGGCGGCGUGCCUAAUACAUGCAAGUCGAACGAGAGCAACCGGUGCUUGCACUGGUCAAUCUAGUGGCGAACGGGUGAGUAACACGUGGGUAACCUGCCCAUCAGAGGGGGAUAACAUCCGGAAACGGAUGCUAAAACCGCAUAGGUCUUCGAACCGCAUGGUUCGAAGAGGAAAAGAGGCGCAAGCUUCUGCUGAUGGAUGGACCCGCGUUGCAUUAGCUAGUUGGUGAGGUAACGGCUCACCAAGGCCGUGAUGCACAGCCGACCUGAGAGGGUGAUCGGCCACAUUGGAACUGAGACACGGCCCAGACUCCUACGGGAGGCAGCAGUAGGGAAUCUUCCGCAAUGGGCGCAAGUCUGACGGAGCAACGCCGCGUGAGUGAAGAAGGUUUUCGGAUCGUAAAACUCUGUUGUUAGAGAAGAACAAGUGCUAGAGUAACUGUUAGCGCCUUGACGGUAUCUAACCAGAAAGCCACGGCUAACUACGUG